rnacentral:lncRNA from 1 species
GGAAUUUGCUUAUUGGGCCUCGCCUUUAAGAAUUUGGGCUUGUGAUCCAUCUCCUACCGAAAUUGGGUCGUUGACGCUUGUAAUGGAGAUCCAACGCGCUUUGGCUGCAAGAUUCGGUUUCUUGGACCAAGAUUUCCAAGAUUUGAAAUCUUGAUUUUCUUGAUUCUUGAAAUCGCUCCGAACAGCAAAAUUGGGCCAAGAUUCGAUUUCUUGAUUUUCUUGAAAACAAGAAAGUGAAUCUUGAUUUUCUUGAUUUGAGCCCAUCGCCUUCUUAAGCUUGGGUUGGGCCUUUGUGACUCGUAUCA